rnacentral:rRNA from 1 species
AACGAACGCUGGCGGCAUGCCUAACACAUGCAAGUCGAACGAAGGCUUCGGCCUUAGUGGCGCACGGGCGCGUAACGCGUGGGAAUCUGCCCUUUGGUUCGGAAUAACAGCUGGAAACGGCUGCUAAUACCGGAUGAUGACGAAAGUCCAAAGAUUUAUCGCCAGAGGAUGAGCCCGCGUUGGAUUAGGUAGUUGGUGGGGUAAAGGCCUACCAAGCCGACGAUCCAUAGCUGGUCUGAGAGGAUGAUCAGCCACACUGGGACUGAGACACGGCCCAGACUCCUACGGGAGGCAGCAGUGGGGAAUAUUGGACAAUGGGCGCAAGCCUGAUCCAGCAAUGCCGCGUGAGUGAUGAAGGCCCUAGGGUUGUAAAGCUCUUUUACCCGGGAAGAUAAUGACUGUACCGGGAGAAUAAGCCCCGGCUAACUCCGUG